AAGGCUUCAGUACGACCCAGUCAGAACUAUAAGUCUCAAAGCCCCGACGAGUAGGGUGGCGUGCCGGUGCGCGUUGAAGGCCAAGACGUGAGUCAGGCUGGAGCCGCCGGUAGUGCAGAUCUUGGUGGUAGUAGCAAGUACUCUGGUGAACCAACCUGGAGCUGUGAGGUCUGGAUCAGGGUUCCAUGUCAACAGUGAUUGAACAUGGGUGAGUCGAUCCUAAGCCAACUGUGAAAGCAGUGACAUCCCGACAAUGGGGCAUUACGUGCGCCGCACUUACACCCCCAUACCAAAGCUCUCGAGUAUCUUUCUCUCAGGCGGCUGGGUACCAAAAUGGCGCACACACGCUGAUCAUUACAAGAGUAGAUGUGAGUGUGUGCGCGGCUAUAGAUACGCGCGUUAGCGUAGACGACAACAAAAAAGAGAGAGAGAGAAAGAGAGUGGGUGAGCGUGAGAUAACCGCAAUUGCAUGGCCCCUGCGUCUGGUUCUAUGUCUGGCGAAAGGGAAUGGGGACUUUGUUCCUUGACCGGUCCCGGCACCCUCGAUUGGCUCUGCCAAUUAAUGGUCCAUGCAAAUGGAACCAGGCCACAGCCGCCGGCAGUCGCCCGAGGAAGAGUUUUCUUUUCUGCUUAACGCACGAGGUCAUCCCUGGAAACAGUUCGGCUGGCGAAAGGGUGCCCCGUUGCGGCAGAGCGCCACGACUGUCGUGCGCGUCUCGGUGUUCCUGCCGGUCCGUGAAGACGUGGUCGAGGGGAUUGCUCUUGUAUCAACGAAACGCCCGACAAGUUCGGGACGGACCGUACCCUAUAUCCGCAUCUGGUCUCCAAGGUUCGUAGCCUCUGCAGAGUCAGACACAUGUAGGUAAGGGAAGUCGGCAAACUCGAUCCGUAACUUCGGGAAAAGGAUUGGCUCUGAGGGCCGAGCUGGGCCGGGCCUUGCCUGCAAAGCAGUACCUAUAGUGACCGGAGUUUCAGGAGUGCGAGGGGCUCUAGUAGCUGCUUGCGCGUGUGUGCGUUCGCGCGUGCGCGCGUGUGGGCACGAACGAGUCCACCGCUCCGCUCCAACCACGAACGGCUGUGACGGCAAGGGCUCUGGGCGGGAGCGAUCAAACCGUUGGCCUCCAGCUCGUCUGGCUGGCGGCGGUGCUCCGUCUGACCCAUACGGCUCCAGCGGCUAGCGGCUAACUCAGAACUGUCAUGGACCAAGGGAAUCCGACUGUCUAAUUAAAACAAAGCGUCGUGACGGCCCCUGUUGGGUGUUGACGCGACGUGAUUUC
rnacentral:rRNA from 1 species